UACAGAGGGUGCGAGCGUUAAUCGGAAUUACUGGGCGUAAAGCGCGCGUAGGCGGCUUUGCAAGCCGGAUGUGAAAUCCCCGGGCUCAACCUGGGAACUGCAUUCGGGACUGCAUUGCUAGAGUAUGGGAGAGGGAAGUGGAAUUUCAGGUGUAGCGGUGAAAUGCGUAGAUAUCUGAAGGAACAUCAGUGGCGAAAGCGACUUCCUGGACCAAUACUGACGCUCAUGUGCGAAAGCGUGGGGAGCAAACAGG
rnacentral:rRNA from 1 species